GAAAUGCGAUACGCAAUGCGAAUUGCAGAAUUCCGCGAAUCAUCAGAUUCUUGAACGCAACUGGCGCUGGAGGGAUAUCCUUCCAGCAUGUCUGUUUCAGUGUCUAAUAACAUCCAAUUCCACCAUAAUGUGUCUGACAAGAGAAACAAACAUACUUGUUAUCUCAAGUCUUACAUUAAAAAUGCAUGUGUGAGUCUUUGGAUCCAUCGAAUCGGUCACUGAUUCCCAGUGAUUUCGAUAGGAAAUCCAAUUAUCUGUAUGCACAUGGAACUAUUAAAAGACCUCUGAUAUCUGCAUCUGAAAUCAGGCAAGAACACCCGCUGAACUUAA
rnacentral:misc_RNA from 1 species